rnacentral:rRNA from 1 species
GACGAACCGAGCGAACGUUGUUCGGAAUCACUGGGCUUAAAGGGCGCGUAGGCGGGCUGCCAAGUCUGGGGUGAAAUCCCGCGGCUCAACCGUGGAACUGCCUCAGAUACUGGCGGCCUCGAGGGAGGUAGGGGCGAGCGGAACUAAUGGUGGAGCGGUGAAAUGCGUUGAUAUCAUUAGGAACUCCGGUGGCGAAGGCGGCUCGCUGGACCUUUUCUGACGCUGAGGCGCGAAAGCUAGGGGAGCAAACAGG